rnacentral:misc_RNA from 1 species
UCUCCGUAGGUGAACCUGCGGAGGGAUCAUUACUGAGUGAGGGCUCACGCCCGACCUCCAACCCUUUGUGAACCAAACUUGUUGCUUCGGGGGCGACCCUGCCGCUUCGGCGGUGCGGCGCCCCCGGAGGCCUUCAAACACUGCAUCUUUGCGUCGGAGUUUAAGUAAAUUAAACAAAACUUUCAACAACGGAUCUCUUGGUUCUGGCAUCGAUGAAGAACGCAGC